rnacentral:rRNA from 15 species
UGGACUUAAGCAUAUCAAUAAGCGGAGGAAAAGAAACCAACUGGGAUUGCCUUAGUAACGGCGAGUGAAGCGGCAAAAGCUCAAAUUUGAAAUCUAACGUCUUCGGCGUUCGAGUUGUAAUUUGAAGAUAUUUUCUCCGAGCAGUCCUUUAUCUAUGUUCCUUGGAACAGGACGUCAUAGAGGGUGAGAAUCCCGUGUGAUUUGGGCUCCUGCUCUUUUGUGAGAUUUUAUCGAAGAGUCGAGUUGUUUGGGAAUGCAGCUCUAAAUGGGAGGUAAAUUUCUUCUAAAGCUAAAUACCGGCCAGAGACCGAUAGCGCACAAGUAGAGUGAUCGAAAGAUGAAAAGCACUUUGGAAAGAGAGUUAAAAAGCACGUGAAAUUGUUGAAAGGGAAGCGCUUGCAAUUAGACUUGCCCGCAGUUGUUCAAUUG